AACGAACGCUGGCGGCAUGCCUAACACAUGCAAGUCGAACGAGACCUUCGGGUCUAGUGGCGCACGGGUGCGUAACGCGUGGGAACCUGCCUUUAGGUUCGGAAUAACUCAGAGAAAUUUGAGCUAAUACCGGAUAAUGUCUUCGGACCAAAGAUUUAUCGCCUUUAGAUGGGCCCGCGUAAGAUUAGCUAGUUGGUGGGGUAAAGGCCUACCAAGGCGACGAUCUUUAGCUGGUCUGAGAGGAUGAUCAGCCACACUGGGACUGAGACACGGCCCAGACUCCUACGGGAGGCAGCAGUGGGGAAUAUUGGACAAUGGGCGAAAGCCUGAUCCAGCAAUGCCGGCGUGAAGUGAUGAAGGCCUUAGGGUUG
rnacentral:rRNA from 1 species